ensembl:lncRNA
GGAGAGUGUUCUCCCCCUGAUGAAAGGUAAUGGGGAGCUGGCUUCCUCAGACAUAGAAAAAGCUGAGGUACUUAAUGAGUGCUUUGCCUCAGUCUUCACGGGUGGUCAGGCUUCCCAUGUCUGCCAGGACCAUGAGCCUCUAGGUGAGGGUGUGGGGAGUGGUUUCUGUCCACCAAGCUGAGCGGUGCAGUCGAUACAUUGGAAGGAAGGGAAGCCAUCCCGAGGGACCUGGACAGGCUGGAGAAGUGGUCCCACGAAAACCUAAUGAGGUUCAAUAAGGCCAAGUGCAGGGUGCUGCACUUGGGUCGGGGCAAUCCCAGGUACUUCUAUAAACAGGGGGGAAGAUCUCCGUGAGAGCAGCCCUGUGGAGAAGGACCUGGGGGUCCUGGUGGAUGAGAAGCUGGACAUGAACCAGCAGUGUGCACCUGCAGCCUGGAAGGCCAACUGUGUGCUGGGCUGCAUUUAAAAAAAAAAAAAAAAAAAAAAAAAAAGGCAGUGGCCAGCAGGGAGAGGUGAUUGUGCCCCUCUACUCAGCUCUUGAGAGGCCCCAUCUGAAGUACUGCGUCCAGACCUGGUGCUCCCAGUACAGGAAGGACAUGGAGCUCUUGGAGCGCAUCCAGAGGAGGGCCACUAAGAUGAUCAGAGGGCAGGAGCACCUCUCCUGUGAGGAAAGGUUGAGGGAACUGGGCUUGUUUAGCUUGGAGAAGAGAAGGCUCCAGGGGGACCUCAUUGUGGCCUUCCAGUACUUGAAGGAAGCGUAUAAACAGGAAGGGGAACGGCUGUUUGUGAGGGUGGAAAGUGGUAGGAUAAGGAGGAAUAGUCUUAAACUGAGACAGGGGUGGUUUAGGUUAGAUAUUAGGAGGAAGUUUUUCACCCAGAGGGUGGUGAUGCACUGGAACAGGUUGCCCAAGUAGGUUGUGAAUGCAUCCAGGGAUGGGGCAUCCAAGGCCAGGCUGGAAGUGGCUCUGGGCAGCCUGCUCUGGUGGUUGGCGACCCUGCACAUAGCAGGGGCAUUGAAACUCGAUGGUCAUUGCGGUCGUUUUCAACCUGGGCCAUUCUAUGAUUCUAUGGCCAUCUCGAACCAUCAGCGCCAAGAUGUGUGUGCCAGUACUGUCACUCUCCUUGCACACAACUGAUAGGUGAAAACUCUGAUGUGGUGAGACUGGAGUUAUCAAUUAUAAUCACUUCUUUGAAGGAGUCAGAUCUAAGACAACUGAGACUAGCUGAAGAUCUGUUUUGAUAAGACAGAAAUCAAGUUUCUGCAAGCCGUGUUUUUCUCUGUUCUGAGAUGCUGUACUGCUGUAAGAAGCAACAUUUGAACUGCUUCUGUUUUCUUGCUUUUGUACGAGAAAGAUUUACUCUUAAUGAUGCAUGACUCCUUCACAACAGAGACUAGUGUUUAUAAGAUUCGGAAUGGGAGCAAACAAGUCAGACAAAUAUUUCUUGCACUCAGCUUUCAGAUUAGGCAUAUAUUUUAAAGAGGCACCAGAGAGGUGGAGACAAUGGAAAGCAAGUAAAAUCCAG